rnacentral:rRNA from 1 species
GAUGAACGCUGGCGGCGUGCCUAAUACAUGCAAGUCGAGCGAACAGACGAGGAGCUUGCUCCUCUGACGUUAGCGGCGGACGGGUGAGUAACACGUGGAUAACCUACCUAUAAGACUGGGAUAACUUCGGGAAACCGGAGCUAAUACCGGAUAAUAUAUUGAACCGCAUGGUUCAAUAGUGAAAGACGGUUUUGCUGUCACUUAUAGAUGGAUCCGCGCCGCAUUAGCUAGUUGGUAAGGUAACGGCUUACCAAGGCAACGAUGCGUAGCCGACCUGAGAGGGUGAUCGGCCACCCUGGAACUGAGACACGGUCCAGAAUCCUACGGGAGGCAGCAGUAGGGAAUCUUCCGCAAUGGGCGAAAGCCUGACGGAGCAAAGCCGCGUGAGUGAUGAAGGUCUUCGGAUCGUAAAACUCUGUUAUUAGGGAAGAACAAAUGUGUAAGUAACUAUGCACGUCUUGACGGUACCUAAUCAGAAAGCCACGGCUAACUACGUG